CCUGAGGACCUGAGGGAUUUAGCCCCUCUGCCUCGCACCAGCCUGGACAGCAUCUCCUUGGAGGUUCAGCCAUCACGGAAGGAGCGUCUCAGAGGAGCCCGUCUCCUCUCUGCAGUACGCCUGCUGCCUCAGCUUCCAGAGUUUCACCUGUGACGAUGGCUCCUCCCACCUGCAUCACAGAGAGAGAACGAGUGUCUGUGCAUCAGUGCACCGCUGCGGACCUAAGGGUCACAGUCCCUCAUUUCUCCCGAGAAGCUGUUUUCGAGAG